rnacentral:piRNA from 1 species
UGAAUGAACACAGCCUCUCCACC